rnacentral:rRNA from 1 species
AUUGAACGCUGGCGGCAGGCCUAACACAUGCAAGUCGAACGAGUGGCGGACGGGUGAGUAAUGUCUGGGAAACUGCCUGAUGGAGGGGGAUAACUACUGGAAACGGUAGCUAAUACCGCAUACCAUCGGAUGUGCCCAGAUGGGAUUAGCUAGUAGGUGGGGUAAAGGCUCACCUAGGCGACGAUCCCUAGCUGGUCUGAGAGGAUGACCAGCCACACUGGGACUGAGACACGGCCCAGACUCCUACGGGAGGCAGCAGUGGGGAAUAUUGCACAAUGGGGGAAAGCCUGAUCCAGCCAUGCCGCGUGUAUGAAGAAGGCCUUCGGGUUGUAAAGUACUUUUAGCGGGGAAGCGUUACCCGCAGAAGAAGCACCGGCUAACUCCGUGCCAGCAGCCGCGGUAAUAC